UUCUGAGCAACAGUGUUGGAUUUGUGUGACCUCUUCUGCCUCAGUUCAAGAACAGAUGGAAGACUGCUCUUAACACCAAAACGGUUCAUAUUACUACACUGAAAUUUCAGCUCAUUUAAG